AGAGUUUGAUCAUGGCUCAGAUUGAACGCUGGCGGAAUGCUUUACACAUGCAAGUCSAACGGCMGCMCSGGAGCUUGCUCCUGGUGGCGAGUGGCSAACSGGUGAGUAAUGCSUCGGAACSUACCSAGUAAUGGGGGAUAACGCMGCSAAAGCUGUGCUAAUACCGCGUACGCCCUGAGGGGGAAAGUGGGGGAUCGCAAGACCUCMCGUUAUUCGAGCGGCCSACGUCCGAUUAGCUAGUUGGUGGGGUAAUGGCCUACCMAGGCGACGAUCAGUAGCGGGUCUGAGAGGAUGAUCCGCCACACUGGGACUGAGACACGGCCCAGACUCCUACGGGAGGCAGCAGUGGGGAAUUUUGGACAAUGGGGGCAACCCUGAUCCAGCCAUUCCGCGUGAGUGAAGAAGGCCUUCGGGUUGUAAAGCUCUUUCAGCUGGAACGAAACGGUACAGGUUAAUACCCUGUGCUAAUGACGGUACCGGCAGAAGAAGCACCGGCUAACUACGUGCCAGCAGCCGCGGUAAUACGUAGGGUGCGAGCGUUAAUCGGAAUUACUGGGCGUAAAGCGUGCGCAGGCGGAUUGUUAAGCAAGAUGUGAAAUCCC
rnacentral:rRNA from 1 species